AAGCCAUGCAAGUCAGUUCACGACCAUCGUGGACGGCGUACGGCUGAGUAACACGUAGUCAAUCUGCCCUCAGGACAGGCAUACCCCCGGGAAACUGGGGUUAAUUCCUGAUCGGCCAUCUAUGCUGGAAUGCUUGAUGGUUCAAAUCUUUUGGCGAAUUGGAGCCAGGAGGCCUGAGGAUGAGACUGCGGCAGAUUAGGUAGUUGGUGAGGUAACGGCUCACCAAGCCGAUAAUCUGUAGGGGCAAUGGGAGUUGGAGCCUCCAGAAGGGCACUGAGACAAGGGCCCUAGUCCUACGGGAUGCAGCAGGCGCGAAACCUUUGCCAUGCGCGAAAGCGUGACAGGGGAACUCCGAGUGGUAGAGGGAUUUAUCUCUCUAUCUUUUGGCCAAUCCAAACAAUUGGCAGAAUAAGAUCUGGGUAAGACCAGUGCCAGCCGCCA
rnacentral:rRNA from 1 species